AGUGAACGCUGGCGGUAGGCCUAACACAUGCAAGUCGAGCGGCAGCACAGUAAGAGCUUGCUCUUACGGGUGGCGAGUGGCGGACGGGUGAGGAAUACAUCGGAAUCUACUUUUUCGUGGGGGAUAACGUAGGGAAACUUACGCUAAUACCGCAUACGACCUACGGGUGAAAGCAGGGGAUCUUCGGACCUUGCGCGAUUGAAUGAGAUGAUGUCGGAUUAGCUAGUUGGCGGGGUAAAGGCCCACCAAGGCGACGAUCCGUAGCUGGUCUGAGAGGAUGAUCAGCCACACUGGAACUGAGACACGGUCCAGACUCCUACGGGAGGCAGCAGUGGGGAAUAUUGGACAAUGGGCGCAAGCCUGAUCCAGCCAUACCGCGUGAGUGAAGAAGGCCUUCGGGUUGUAAAGCCCUUUUGUUGGGAAAGAAAAGCAGCAGGUUAAUACCCCGCUGUUCUGACGGUACCCAAAGAAUAAGCACCGGCUAACUUCGUG
rnacentral:rRNA from 1 species